UGCUUAUAACGGUUACAUUUUAAUAAGCUGUACAAGGUCAGAAAUAUUCUAUGACAUCAACCUCCAGUCAGGACAUUCUAACUGGCUGAUCUAAAUGACUUUGUAUAACCUUAUGUGUCUGUAAACAAAUUAACUUGACUUAUUCAUUUACAGACAUAGCCUUGUUUAUGUAUGAGAAGAAUGUUCCUUCAGAGCUUUCCUGCUCAUGAUGUCCAGCACAGGAAAAAUGAUACGGGAGCUCGACUUGAUCUGCUGUUUUCUGUGCCUUAUUCUGAUAUGUGUGAGGUCUGAUCCCUGGGGGUGACCUUCAGUGCAGCCAUCUGUAAGGCAGAGCAGUGGUUCUCAAACUUUUCACAGCGACAGUUCCCGACUCACCGACGGCAUCUCCCACACCUCCACCGAUUCUCCCGGGGGCCUUCGACUCAUUGAUGGUGGCUGGGAUCAUGGCACAGCGGCACCGCGAAAAAGAGCUGUGUUUUUACCAUCAGUGUGACAGUGUCGUGCCAGUUUUAAGGCCCACGCUCGGGGAGACGUUUUCUGGUUGACUCCGGUUCCCAGAAGAGCCUCGGGAACUCUCGUGUCAUCUUUGCAUGAUAGUAUAUAGUAUAGUAGUAUAAUAUUUAAUCUAAAAAAAAAUUGGAGAUUUCCCGCGUACCACCAGAGAGAGCCCAAGUACUACUAGUGGUACGCGUACCACAGUUUGAGAACCACUGCAGUAGAGGAGCACUGCUGCAGUGGCAAAAACAGCUGCACUGUUCUCUGUGCGAUAUUGAUUGAUCUCAGCUCAAUGUGGGCCUUUUAUUUAAAUACUCAUGGUGAAACAAACUUAAAUGGGCACAAUGUGGUUAUACUAUGUACGCACAUGACCUAUGUAGUAUAAUUUGUUCUUGAACAUUGGCUAAAAGGAAUGCUUGUGACUGUGGGUGUGAA